GACGGAGGAUGCAAGCGUUAUCCGGAAUGAUUGGGCGUAAAGCGUCCGCAGGUGGCAGUUCAAGUCUGCUGUCAAAGACCGGGGCUUAACUUCGGAAAGGCAGUGGAAACUGAACAGCUAGAGUAUGGUAGGGGCAGAGGGAAUUCCUGGUGUAGCGGUGAAAUGCGUAGAGAUCCGGAAGAACACCGGAGGCGAAGGCGGCUUGCUGGGCUUGGUCUGACGCUGAGGCGCGAAAGCGUGGGGAGCGAACAGG
rnacentral:rRNA from 1 species